rnacentral:lncRNA from 10 species
GUUGCUUCCUGGUCUGCUGAUGAAUCCUCCAUAGUCUGUUGAUGUUAUGAUAGCAGGUAAACAUGUGGUACUGACAUCUUUAAAGGCAUAUUCUCAAGAUGCAGGUGUAAUUUGUCCAGAGAAUCUCAACUGAGAAUAAAUUCCAGAGAAGGAGGAGAAAGAAAAAAAGUGGCUUUCCUUCAGGUAAACAUGUGUCAGAUGAAGAGCUGUG